CGGUACAGAGUCAAUGUGGAGGCUAUAUACAGGGGGGUACCGGUACAGAGUCAAUGUGGAGGCUAUAUACAGGGGGUACCGGUACAGAGUCAAUGUGGAGGCUAUAUACAGGGGGUACCGGUACAGAGUCAAUGUGGAGACUAUAUACAGGGGGUACCGGUACAGAGUCAAUGUGGAGGCUAUAUACAGGGGGUACCGGUACAGAGUCAAUGUGGAGGCUAUAUACAGGGGGUACCGGUACAGAGUCAAUGUGGAGGCUAUAUACAGGGGGUACCGGUACAGAGUCCAUGUGGAGGCUAUAUACAGGGUAUUACGGAACAGAGUCAAUGUGGAGGCUAUAUACAGGGUAUUAUGGUACAGAGUCAAUGUGGAGGCUAUAUACAGGGUAUUACGGUACAGAGUCAAUGUGGAGGCUAUAUACAGGGGGUACCGGUACAGAGUCAAUGUGG
ensembl:lncRNA